rnacentral:rRNA from 1 species
GACAGAGGCCUCGAGCGUUAGGCGGAAUCACUGGGCUUAAAGCGUGUGUAGGCGGGCCCGUAAGUGUCUUGUGAAAUCCCACGGCUCAACCGUGGAACUGCUGGGCAUACUGCGGGUCUUGGGCCAACUAGGGGCAGUCGGAACAAGCGGUGGAGCGGUGAAAUGCGUAGAUAUCGCUUGGAACGCCGAAGGUGAAAACAGGCUGCUGGGGUUGCGCCGACGCUGAGACACGAAAGCCAGGGGAGCAAACGGG